rfam:Gossypium raimondii Chr11_contig_1363, whole genome shotgun sequence.
UGUUAAAGAUUUUAUUUAUUUCCAUAGUUAAAAACUAGCGUGGUUGACAGAAUAAUCAUGCCAUGUGCACCUCAUUUUGGCGCAUUGAGACUAAUUUUUAACAGUAGAAAUGAAUGAAAUUUUUAACA